CACGUAGGGUGCGAGCGUUGUCCGGAAUUAUUGGGCGUAAAGAGCUCGUAGGCGGUGUGUCGCGUCGGCCGUGAAAACCUGCAGCUUAACUGUGGGCUUGCGGUAGAUACGGGCAUCACUGGAGUUCGGCAGGGGAGACUGGAAUUCCUGGUGUAGCGGUGAAAUGCGCAGAUAUCAGGAGGAACACCGGUGGCGAAGGCGGGUCUCUGGGCCGAUACUGACGCUGAGGAGCGAAAGCGUGGGGAGCGAACAGG
rnacentral:rRNA from 1 species